rnacentral:rRNA from 1 species
GAUGAACGCUGGCGGCGUGCCUAAUACAUGCAAGUCGAGCGAACGGACGAGAAGCUUUCUUCUCUGAUGUUAGCGGCGGACGGGUGAGUAACACGUGGAUACCCUACCUAUAAGACUGGGAUAACUUCGGGAAACCGGAGCUAAUACCGGAUAAUAUUUUGAACCGCAUGGUUCAAAAGUGAAAGACGGUCUUGCUGUCACUUAUAGAUGGAUCCGCGCUGCAUUAGCUAGUUGGUAAGGUAACGGCUUACCAAGGCAACGAUGCAUAGCUGACCUGAGAGGGUGAUCGGCCACACUGGAACUGAGACACGGUCCAGACUCCUACGGGAGGCAGCAGUAGGGAAUCUUCCGCAAUGGGCGAAAGCCUGACGGAGCAACGCCGCGUGAGUGAUGAAGGUCUUCGGAUCGUAAAACUCUGUUAUUAGGGAAGAACAUAUGUGUAAGUAACUGUGCACAUCUUGACGGUACCUAAUCAGAAAGCCACGGCUAACUACGUG